rnacentral:rRNA from 1 species
AUACGAAGGGGGCUAGCGUUGCUCGGAAUUACUGGGCGUAAAGGGAGCGUAGGCGGACAUUUAAGUCAGGGGUGAAAUCCCGGGGCUCAACCUCGGAAUUGCCUUUGAUACUGGGUGUCUUGAGUGUGAGAGAGGUAUGUGGAACUCCGAGUGUAGAGGUGAAAUUCGUAGAUAUUCGGAAGAACACCAGUGGCGAAGGCGACAUACUGGCUCAUUACUGACGCUGAGGCUCGAAAGCGUGGGGAGCAAACAGGAUUAGAUACCCUAGUAGUCC